rnacentral:rRNA from 1 species
GACGAACGCUGGCGGCGUGCCUAAUACAUGCAAGUUGAGCGAUGAAGCUUGGUGCUUGCACCAAUUUGAAGAGCAGCGAACGGGUGAGUAACGCGUGGGGAAUCUGCCUUUGAGCGGGGGACAACAUUUGGAAACGAAUGCUAAUACCGCAUAACAACUUUAAACAUAAGUUUUAAGUUUGAAAGAUGCAAUUGCAUCACUCAAAGAUGACCCCGCGUUGUAUUAGCUAGUUGGUGAGGUAAAGGCUCACCAGGGCGAUGAUACAUAGCCGACCUGAGAGGGUGAUCGGCCACAUUGGGACUGAGACACGGCCCAAACUCCUACGGGAGGCAGCAGUAGGGAAUCUUCGGCAAUGGACGAAAGUCUGACCGAGCAACGCCGCGUGAGUGAAGAAGGUUUUCGGAUCGUAAAACUCUGUUGGUAGAGAAGAACGUUGGUGAGAGUGGAAAGCUCAUCAAGUGACGGUAACUACCCAGAAAGGGACGGCUAACUACGUG